GCAGGACAGAUAACUGAAGUUGAUCUGAGGAGAGGAUGCAGCAGUAAAUAAGGACAGAAGAUUAAACUAGACUCUAAAAGAAAGGAACCUUCCCAUCUUUAUAGAAGCCACAGAUGUACAGAUGAAGCAGCAGCAUCAAGGAGAUGACACCUCUUCACAGAGUCCUUGUGACAGACUGUCCAGGAGGGGACUGUAGGGGCCCAAAACAGUUCAAGAAGUUAAGCCAAAAAGCGGGGAGGAUCUGCUUAUUACUAUCAUCUAAGACACUCUAGAAUUGGCUCACAUGGUUAGGAUGCUGGCUCGACAAUCAGCAAGCCCGUGUUCGAGACCUGAGUGCUGCUGCAUGAUGGGGUGCAGAUCAGUGAUGGGUUGCUACCUGUUCACCCGGAUCUGACGAACUGGUAGCGGUGGCAGCAGGAGGCUCCGCCCAUCUGCCCGGAUGUCUGUGCAGGCGCAGAAGCAUCGCAUGCGCGCACGAGCGUGUGCGUGCCCACGAGGCAACCGGUAGUGGCCGAAAUUGAAACCCACUACUGGUGCAGGUUAUAGUUUUUAGCCUUCCAUACAAAUUAACAUCCCCAUACACAAAAAAGUAGUACAGCAAAUGAACAAUUCCAGCCAGGCA